rnacentral:rRNA from 1 species
UGCAAGUCGAACGAUGAAGCCCUUCGGGGUGGAUUAGUGGCGAACGGGUGAGUAACACGUGGGCAAUCUGCCCUGCACUCUGGGACAAGCCCUGGAAACGGGGUCUAAUACCGGAUAUGACCGGUGACCGCAUGGUUGGGGGUGGAAAGCUCCGGCGGUGCAGGAUGAGCCCGCGGCCUAUCAGCUUGUUGGUGGGGUGAUGGCCUACCAAGGCGACGACGGGUAGCCGGCCUGAGAGGGCGACCGGCCACACUGGGACUGAGACACGGCCCAGACUCCUACGGGAGGCAGCAGUGGGGAAUAUUUGCACAAUGGGCGAAAGGCCUGAUGCAGCGACGCCGCGUGAGGGAUUGACGGCCUUCGGGUUGUAAACCUCUUUCAGGCAGGGAAGAAGCGAAAGUGACGGUACCUGCAGAAGAAGCGCCGGCUAACUACGUGCCAGCAGCCGCGGUAAUACGUAGGGCGCAAGCGUUGUCCGNGAAUUAUUGGGCGUAAAGAGCUCGUAGGCGGCUUGUCGCGUCGGAUGUGAAAGCCCGGGGCUUAACCCCGGGUCUGCAUUCGAUACGGGCAGGCUAGAGUUCGGUAGGGGAGAUCGGAAUUCCUGGUGUAGCGGUGAAAUGCGCAGAUAUCAGGAGGAACACCGGUGGCGAAGGCGGAUCUCUGGGCCGAUACUGACGCUGAGGAGCGAAAGCGUGGGGAGCGAACAGGAUUAGAUACCCUGGUAGUCCACGCCGUAAACGUUGGGAACUAGGUGUGGGCGACAUUCCACGUCGUCCGUGCCGCAGCUAACGCAUUAAGUUCCCCGCCUGGGGGAGUACGGGCCGCAAGGCUAAAACUCAAAGGAAUUGACGNGGGGCCCGCACAAGCAGCGGAGCAUGUGGCUUUAAUUCGACGCAACGCGAAGAAACCUUACCAAGGGCUUGACAUACACCGGAAACGGCCAGAGAUGGUCGCCCCUCCCUUGUGGUCGGUGUUACAGGUUGGUGCAUGGCCUUGUUCGUUCAGCUUCGUGUCGUGAGAUUGUUGGGUUAAGUCCCGCAACGAGCGCAACCCUUGUCCUGGUGCUUGCCCAGCAUGCCCUUCGGGGUGAUGGGGACUCACAGGAGACUGCCGGGGUCAACUCGGAGGAAGGUGGGGACGACGUCAAGUCAUCAUGCCCCUUAUGUCUUGGGCUGCACACGUGCUACAAUGGCCGGUACAAUGAGCUGCGAUGCCGUGAGGUGGAGCGAAUCUCAAAAAGCCGGUCUCAGUUCGGAUUGGGGUCUGCAACUCGACCCCAUGAAGUUGGAGUUGCUAGUAAUCGCAGAUCAGCAUUGCUGCGGUGAAUACGUUCCCGGGCCUUGUACACACCGCCCGUCACGUCACGAAAGUCGGUAACACCCGAAGCCGGUGGCCCAACCCUUGUGGAGGGAGCCGUCGAAG